rnacentral:rRNA from 1 species
AGUGAACGCUGGCGGUAGGCCUAACACAUGCAAGUCGAACGGCAGCACAGUAAGAGCUUGCUCUUACGGGUGGCGAGUGGCGGACGGGUGAGGAAUACAUCGGAAUCUACUUUUUCGUGGGGGAUAACGUAGGGAAACUUACGCUAAUACCGCAUACUACCUACGGGUGAAAGCAGGGGAUCUUCGUACCUUGCGCGAUUGAAUGAGCCGAUGUCGGGUUAGCUAGUUGGCGGGGUAAAGGCCCACCAAGGCGACGAUCCGUAGCUGGUCUGAGAGGAUGAUCAGCCACACUGGAACAGAGUCACGGUCCAGACUCCUACGGGAGGCAGCAGUGGGGAAUAUUGGACAAUGGGCGCAAGCCUGAUCCAGCCAUACCGCGUGGGUGAAGAAGGCCUUCGGGUUGUAAAGCCCUUUUGUUGGGAAAGAAAAGCAGCAGGUUAAUACCCCGCUGUUCUGACGGUACCCAAAGAAUAAGCACCGGCUAACUUCGUG